rnacentral:rRNA from 1 species
AUGUCUCGAAGCCAUCGUCAAGUUUGCUACUGGGGUGGUCAAGGUGUUUGGACCAAAGUAAUUGACAGAACCAACUGCCGAAGACACAACACGGCUCAUGGCACUGUCAAAAGUCAGAGGAUAGCUAGGACCUCUGGAGUUGACACUUCGGGAUUUCCGGGUCUCACAAUGACAUCAACGUGCCACAUCCAUCUCCAUUGUUUGCAAGGUUAUGUGCGGGAAAAGCUCCUCCGUGUAACUAUAGUACUAUAUACCAUCAAUGGUCAUGGCUACAACAUGAGCUAUUAUCUUUGUGAUGGUAUCAAUCCUCGUGGGUGA